rnacentral:rRNA from 1 species
AUUGAACGCUUGCGACAGGCUUAACACCUGCAAGUCGAGCGAGCGGCGGACGGGUGAGUCAUGUCUGGGCAACUGCCCGAUGGAGGGGGAUAACUACUGGAAACGGUAGCUAAUCCCGCAUACCAUCGGUAUUGCCCAGAUGGGAUUAGCUAGUAGGUGGGGUAAUGGCUCACCUAGGCGACGAUCCCUAGCUGGUCUGAGGAGAUGACCAUCCACACUGGAACGGAGACACGGUCCGGACUCCGACGGGAGGCAGCAGGGGGGAAUAUUGCACAAGGGGCGCAAGCCUGAUGCAGCCAUGCCGCGUGUAUGAAGAAGGCCGUCGGGUUGUAAAGUACGUUCAGCGAGGAGGCGUUACUCGCAGAAGAAGCACCGGCUAACUCCGUGCCAGCAGCCGCGGUAAUUC